CAGUCGCCGCGGGAAUACGUAGGUGGCAAGCGUUGUCCGGAAUUAUUGGGCGUAAAGCGCGCGCAGGCGGAUCAGUUAGUCUGUCUUAAAAGUUCGGGGCUUAACCCCGUGAGGGGAUGGAAACUGCUGAUCUAGAGUAUCGGAGAGGAAAGUGGAAUUCCUAGUGUAGCGGUGAAAUGCGUAGAUAUUAGGAAGAACACCAGUGGCGAAGGCGACUUUCUGGACGAAAACUGACGCUGAGGCGCGAAAGCCAGGGGAGCGAACGGGAUUAGAUACCCCGGUAGUCCCUGUCUCUUAUACA
rnacentral:rRNA from 1 species